UGAGCAAUCUGCCCUUCACAUCGGGAUAACCCUCGGAAACGGGGGCUAAUACCGGAUAUGACGGCUCACCGCAUGGUGUGGUUGUGGAAAGUUUUUCGGUCUGGGAUGGGCUCGCGGCCUAUCAGCUUGUUGGUGGGGUGAUGGCCUACCAAGGCGACGACGGGUAGCCGGCCUGAGAGGGCGACCGGCCACACUGGGACUGAGACACGGCCCAGACUCCUACGGGAGGCA
rnacentral:rRNA from 1 species